CCAGCAUCAUCGGCAUCAUCAUAAUCAAUAUAAUCAAUGCUGCUUUGGAGAGUUUGCCACCUGUUGUCAAUGUUUCAGUGUCAGCACGCGUCCAGAAAUACGAGAGCCCCUUGUUUUCAGAAGAAAUCCAUGGUUUGGUGAGCUUGAGAGGCACAUUUAGGCAGCAAAGGAGACAUUGUGGAUUACAGACAUGCUGCAUGUUUCAUGUGUUCCAUGUGCAGUUGCAUGAGGAUGAAGAUGAUGAUGAUAUUCAUUCAUGAGAUGUGUUUUUGCAGUCAUAAGAUCCAGACCACCAAUGUACCAGCACUCAGGCCUAAAACCUGCUUCUGAGGGUUGGUUUCUCUCUUUGGUUAUCUAGCUGUAUGAGUUUUAACACUUUUCAUAAAGCUAGAUAACCGAAAGUAGAAAUAAUUCUCGAAAUCUGUUGAGAACAGCAAGAGAGCACCCACUUUUUCCUCAGAGUUUUAUUUCCAUCCACAUUAUAACACAAAAAAGUAACAACAACAAGGACAGAGCCAUCAGAGAGAGAGCGAGAGAGAGAGAUGCUCAGAGGAACAUUGCUAUAUCUUCCCCUCUCCGCCUACCCAGAAACCCCCAGUGCCAUCUGUACCCCUGUGGGGUGCGGGAGAAUCUGUGCCAGUGCCAGCGGCGACAAAACCCUCGUCAGCGUCCUGGACGGCACAGGGAGGAAGGGAGGCCAUCUUGACGGAGAUCUUACACAAGAAGCUAAGAUGGCUGGGCUGGCACAUGAGGUGUGGACUGAACUUUGCAUUCACACUUUGCUGAAAAUUAGUCGAAAACGACGAAUUAUUCAUCCAGAGAGAACAAUAGGAGCCUCAAGCACCUGAAAGUUUAAGAGGCACAUAAAAUCUUGUUGAUAAUGAUGAUGUGUGUAUAUAUGAGAGCAAAAGUAUUUUGUCUUCAAUGAAAAAGAAUUGUACUUUAUAGUAUUUUCAUUAAGAUUAUAUUAGCA